rnacentral:rRNA from 1 species
UGGGGAAUAUUGGACAAUGGGCGAAAGCCUGAUCCAGCCAUGCCGCGUGUGUGAAGAAGGUCUUCGGAUUGUAAAGCACUUUAAGUUGGGAGGAAGGGCAGUAAGCGAAUACCUUGCUGUUUUGACGUUACCGACAGAAUAAGCACCGGCUAACUCUGUGCCAGCAGCCGCGGUAAUACAGAGGGUGCAAGCGUUAAUCGGAAUUACUGGGCGUAAAGCGCGCGUAGGUGGUUCGUUAAGUUGAAUGUGAAAGCCCCGGGCUCGACCUGGGAACUGCAUCCAAAACUGGCGGGCUAGAGUAGGGCAGAGGGUGGUGGAAUUUCCUGUGUAGCGGUGAAAUGCGUAGAUAUAGGAAGGAACACCAGUGGCGAAGGCGACCACCUGGGCUCAUACUGACACUGAGGUGCGAAAGAGUGGGGAGCAAACAGG